rnacentral:rRNA from 1 species
UACAGAGGGGGCAAGCGUUGUUCGGAAUUACUGGGCGUAAAGGGCGCGUAGGCGGCCUGCUAAGUCGAACGUGAAAUCCCUGGGCUCAACCCAGGAACUGCGUCCGAUACUGGUUGGCUUGAAUCCGGGAGAGGGAUGUGGAAUUCCAGGUGUAGCGGUGAAAUUCGUAGAUAUUGGGAAGAACACCGGUGGCGAAGGCGGCGCUCUGGACCGAUACUGACGCUGAGGCGCGAAAGCGUGGGGAGCAAACAGG